GUCAUAUGAUCAUUAAAGAGUCCUACGGUGUCCGUAGAGGACAUAAACAGACCGCGAGCUCACCUGUCUUUUCUGUAGCCAGAUACAUGGCACAGGCACGUAAUACUGUUUCUUGCUGCUCUGGACACGCAUCUUAAACACGCAAACACACACACACACACACACACACACACAUAUAUAUAUAUAUAAGUAUUAGCUAGUUGUCCACAAGAGUUGUUCCACGACUUAUUGGGUAAGUUUGCAUCCCUGUUAAUGUCUCUCGGAGAUUAAACAAAUAAAUAUUUAACCUUUAUUUAACUAGGCAAGUCAGUUAAGAACAAAUUCUUAAUUACAUUGAUGGGCUGUACUGUAGUAAUGCACAGGGAACAGACUACAGUACUAUUGUCUCCUGAACCAAUCUACCAUUAAGUACCAUCAUCACCAAUUCAGACUGGUUUUCUGGCCAGAACAACAUUGGUGCAUUAUACUAUGAUUCUGGACGGAUGUCAUUCAUUUAUUGAGCAAGUUCUCUAAAGCACACAACUGCUGCUCAACCAAACAGACAACAAUCUUUAUCUGAGUUGAGUGAACCUUUUUCACUUUUACUGCUCACUUUUCCAGAGAAAGGCUCAAACACAGGGAUAGCUUUUUGUGUUUUAUUUAACUAGGCAAGUCAGUUAAGAACAACUUAUUUACAAUGACAGCCUAAGAACAGUGAGUUAACUGCCUUGUUCAGUGGCAGAACAACAGAUUUUUACCUUGACAGCUCAGGGAUUUGAUCCAGCAACCUUUCAGUUACUGGCCAAACGCUCUAACCACUGGGCUACCUGCAGCCUGCAGUUUGUAUGUUUUACACGGACUGUUUAAAUAAUGAACCUGGAAUGUCUUGCCAGUCAGGUACUGUGUUUUAUGUUUGUCCUAGAUGUACUGUAAAAGGUCCAGACCCUCCCUGUGCUGUGUGAAUACACAGGUUGGCAUUUUUUGGGAUGACUUAUGUACUGGAGGCAGCUCUGCAGGGUAGUCACUAGCUGACACAGCCACAAUGUCAUAAAAUCAGAUUUUAAACCUUAACUUAACCGAACUGCUAACCUUUUGCUUAACCUUAGCGUAUUUUUGUUUUCAUGAAUUUUUUACAAUGUAUAGCCAAUUUUGACUUUGUCGCUGGCCCAUUAGUAGAAAUCGCUCAGCUCUGCCUCCAGGACAAGAUACAUCCCAAUAAACGUAAACUUCCUGCGUGCAUGUGACCUAACAGUCAGUAGACUUUUCUUCCACCAGCGAUAAAGGCACUGGCUUUGCGCCAUCCUCAUGGGGCCCGGGAUCAGCAAGCCGCACCAGGGAGGCUCUACUCCAACUACCAGCGACAGCAUGGAGUACAGACUCCUGCUCCAGGCCUCUGUGCUGCCUAAGGCCCUCUCUGUGACCUCAUGUGCAUCACAGCCCUCCUCCUGCCAGUCCCUCCAGCCCUCCAGGCUAACAUCCACCACAUCCUCCCUCUCCCCCACCGCCUCCUCCUCCCUCACCUCUCCACUCAUAAGCACAGAGAACCAAUUAUUAAAGAGGGGUUCACUCCUCUUCACUCAUUCCUCCUCUCUUCCCUCUCCCCUCUGUCCUUUGUCCUCUUCAUCCCUGCCACCCUCUAGUGGUGUCCUGCCUCCUACUGGCCUUCCUCCUCCUCCUGUUCUGGAUGAAUAAUGGGAGGAUGAGGAAGGCAGUCUGCCUGUAAGGACGUGCUGUCUUACUCUGAAGAGAUUUGUGUGGUAUGUGGCCCGGCCCCAUAAGCCCAUCCCUUCUUUCAGUCAGUUUUUUUUGUGGUGUAGUUUAUCCAAGGUCCAUUCCAACACAGUCAAUCUUUGAAAUAAAAUACAUUUGUGAUGCUCAAUUUAUUGGUUAAGUGAUUCUGAGUCAAUAUGUUCCUCUGACAAUGUAAGUUAAUGGCAGUAUACAGAAUGUGUUCUCCUUCUUCCUCAUGACAUGUCAGGAUUCUAACUAGGACAGCCUCAUGGCUGAGGAGAUUGAGUUGUCCACAGAGAUGCAUGUUCUGGACAUGGUAUUGGAUGAAGAGGAGCUGGACCAAAACAUGUCAAUUGGGGAACAGGAGUUUGGCUUAUUAUUACAUGCCUUAUUAUUUAUUUUACUGCUGCUCUUAAAUUUUUUGUUACUUUUAUUUAUUUAUUUUUCUUAACUUCAUUGUUGGUUAAGGGCUUGUAAGUAAGCGUUUCACUGUUGUAUUGGUGCAAGUGAUCAUUCUUAUUUUUUUGAUUUGAUACCUGAUUAGUAAUAUUUGUAACAUUGCUGCCCCCUUGUGAUAAUAAUCUGAAAUACAGAUGUCACUAAAGUUGCAACAAAACUGCAUCCUAUAUACAUGGCACUGCAAUCGCUACCUUUGGUUGUUUGAGUUUACAAUUUCGUGUGCAUUCCCUAUUUCCUUCCCACUCAGAGACAUCUCAGAGUGUGCAGGAAGUGAUCUUUGACACUGAUGAUCAUUAUAGGUGUGGCUGCUGGGGUGUUGGUCAUAGUCAUUAUCAUCUUAGUUAACUAAUACCAUAGACGCAAUAACAGGACAUUAGAGAUGGAGCUUCGCGAAAGGACAUGAGUUGAUUUCCACAAUACUUGGAACCCCCUUUCGCUAUCCUUAAAUCCUCCUUAGUUUCUAAAAAGCUCUUUCAUAGGUUAGAAAUCAACACUCUCCAGAUAGGCCUCCUCCACAAGACUCAACUCUGUCAGCACAGACCCCAGACGACAGAAUGAAGACUGUACACUCCUCAGACUAGACAGUGAAAUUAAAAAAAGCCUAAUGUCCCUUGAGGACCAUCCCAUCUACAAAGCCAGUCAAUCCACCCUCGGUGGGGGACGGUUCGAGAGGGUGAUUUGGACUACCUAGGCCGCCCCGUCCUGUACCAAUCUAGCUGGUGACUCUGGCCUUCCUUCCUCGUCCCCAGGACCAGGAUGGCAAUGUGUGGCCCACAGACAUCCCCCCAAUGCUCAGUGACCUGGGUGGCCAGAGGGAGGGUGUGACCGAAGGGGACGACUGGGUCCACAGACAGGACGUGCUGGAGGUUGAUGAGGCUGACUGUGACACCAGUUCUUACCAGAUCUCAGCGGCACUCUUCAACCACAGCAAUGGGUUUCUGCAGCCCAAACCACACUCCAACACCAUCCUCCUACACCCGAGGACAGAACAUCUAGACAGGGGUGAAAGGAGUUGGUUGAAAAGGGAACUGCCCUCAGCUCCACUCUAACCCCAUGGUCAUGGUGGCCUGCUACUCACUCCUGUGAACUGAACUUGGAUACAGUUGGACUGAAGUGAGUGUUUGGCAACCUCAUGUUCAUAUUAAUUGCCAUUUUUAGGUUGACUUUGUCCUUUUUUUCCAUCAGCAUGGGCUUCUUGUAUACAGUGCCUUCAGAAAGUAUUCACACCACUUGAUUUGUUGUGUUACAGCGUUAUUACAAAUGGAUUAAAUGUAGAUUUUUUUUGUCACUGGCCUACAGACAAUAUCCCAUGUCAAAGUAGAAUUAUGUUUUUUGAUUACAUUUUUUUAAUGAAAAGCUUAAAUGUCUUGAGUGAAAAAGUUUUCAACCCCUUGUUAUGGCAAGCCUAAAUAAGUUCAGGACAAAAAAAUCUGCUUAACAAGUCACAUACGUUGCAUGGACUCUGUGUGUAACACUGUGGUUUUUGAAUGACUACCUCAUGCCAGUACCCCACACAAUUAUAUGUAAGGUUCCUCAGUCUAGCAGUGAAUUUCAAACACAGAUUCAACCAUAAAUACCAGGGAGAUUUUCAAAUGCCUCUCAAAGGGCAUAAAUAUAAAAUGUCUUGUUCAUUCACCCUCUAAAUACAUGUCUCAAGGCUUAAAAAUCCUUCUCUAACCUGUCUCUUUAACAAGUGACAUCAAUAAGGGAUCAUAGCUUUCAUCUGUAUUCACCUGGUCAUUCUGUCAUGUUCUAUAGUUGCCAUGGUGCCCUAGCUUCACCAUUCCAGGUGAAGCUGGUUGAGAGAAUGCCAAGAGUGUGCAAACCUGUCAAGGCAAAGGGCGGCUACUUUGAAGAAUCUCAAAUAUAAAACAUUUUGAUUUAACACUUUUUUGGUUACUACAUGAUUGCAUAUGUGUUAUUUCAUAGUUUUGAUGUCUCACUAUUAUUCUACAAUGUAGAAAAUAGUAAACCCUGGAAUGAGUAGGCGUGUCAAACUUUUGACUAGUACUGUAUAUCUAGUGUUUUAGGGCCACGAAUUUGCAGAUUUACUGACAGGUUAAAAGUCUUUGGCUUGGCUAACUAGCUAGCUGGCUAAUAUUUUUGUUUAAAAAAUGCAUCUGGACACAUUACCAGCCUUUUUGUUUCUUCUGGCUGCCAAUUCCCGAUCUUCUGAGAACAAUUUUCAGGAGUCGCCUGAAACGUGAGAGGAAUGGGAGAUGCGGGAAUAUAUUGCUAAGAGAGAGCUCUCAUAGUGAGGACUGGCUACUAUUGUGAACUUUGUGUGGUGAACUUUCUGGUGUCCAGAGCUGCUGAGGCAUCACCCAAGUGGGUGCUACACAGACUGGAAGAGAAGAAGACCAGUGGCUAUAAGAGUCAGGCUGGUUCCCAGACGUGCCCUCUACAAGAUCAUCAACAGACUCCAUCACCAUCCUCUGACCAGCUCUCUCUGCUCAAGCCAUGAACUGACCCUCUCCAUCUUCAGAGGAUGCAGCUUUCAAAGACUUGGUCUCUAUUGGUUCAUCUGUCAUGAUAUAUUGCGUGUUUUUUUUGUUGCUCUUGAAGCACGGAGAUUCUAUGAAAAGCGCUAUAGAAAUUGUAUAAAUUAUUAUAUUAUGGAAAGAGCAGGUGUUAAUGUUUUGUAUUCUCAGUGUAUUUCAACAACAACAAGGGCUCAAAGUUCAGAGAAUUUAUGUUUAUUCAUAAACAUGUAUGUAUUGAUAAAAGCACAUCCAUUGUA